rnacentral:rRNA from 1 species
AGUCACUGACAUUAGAUACCCCGGUAGUCCUAGCCGUAAACGAUACUCGCUAGGUGUCGGCCACGGUGCGACCGUUGUCGGUGCCGUAGGGAAGCCGUGAAGCGAGCCACCUGGGAAGUACGGCCGCAAGGCUGAAACUUAAAGGAAUUGGCGGGGGAGCACCACAACAGGUGGAGCUUGCGGUUUAAUUGGAUUCAACGCCGGAAAUCUUACCGGGACCGACAGCAACAUGAAGGCCAGGCUGAAGACUUUGCCGGAUUAGCUG